rnacentral:rRNA from 1 species
GAAUCCAUAGGUUAAUGAGGCGAACCGGGGGAACUGAAACAUCUAAGUACCCCGAGGAAAAGAAAUCAACCGAGAUUCCCCCAGUAGCGGCGAGCGAACGGGGAGGAGCCCAGAGCCUGAAUCAGCAUGUGUGUUAGUGGAAGCGUCUGGAAAGGCGCGCGAUACAGGGUGACAGCCCCGUACACAAAAGCGCAUGUGCUGUGAGCUCGAUGAGUAGGGCGGGACACGUGGUAUCCUGUCUGAAUAUGGGGGGACCAUCCUCCAAGGCUAAAUACUCCUGACUGACCGAUAGUGAACCAGUACCGUGAGGGAAAGGCGAAAAGAACCCCGGCGAGGGGAGUGAAAAAGAACCUGAAACCGUGUACGUACAAGCAGUGGGAGCACCCUUUGGGUGUGACUGCGUACCUUUUGUAUAAUGGGUCAGCGACUUAUAUUCUGUAGCAAGGUUAACCGAAUAGGGGAGCCGGAGGGAAACCGAGUCUUAAC